rnacentral:lncRNA from 1 species
AAUUGGGUUAGGAUUUAUUGAAAUCCUAUUAGGUUUAUAAGAACUAUACUAAUACAUGGUUAAACCUAAUUCUUCUCAGAACUUCGAUUUGAUCAAAUCCAUAGCCUUGAACCUAACCUAAAUCCAUUUGGACUUAAUUGGGCUCUUAAUUUUGAGCCCCAAAAGAUUUGAUUAAGUCAAUUAGUUGGCAUAAUUAUCUUAAUACUAUCUCUUCUUUAUCUCUUAAUUAUCUCUAAGUGUGCAUGUGGAAUAGAUGGAAAGAUGGGAAGCGCAAUCUUCUCUUUUUGGCAAGACUAAGGGGUGCCAACCCCCUGAAUUUGGCAAGUAGGGCUCGCCCCUUUCUUGAGGUUUGGCAUGGAGGAGAGAGAGUGGGGUCACGCUCCCUCUCAUUUGGCAAGAAACCCCUUAAGGGGCGCCAAGUGUUGGCGCCCCAAACUACUUGGCCUAUAGAGAUAAGGCAUCCCUUUUACCUACCUAAAGAGACUGAUUAUAUAUCAAUUAUAUCUGAUUUUAAUUAAAAUAAAUCAGAUUAAAAAGGUAAAAGAUUCUUAUGAGAUAAGAAUGUCUCUAGGAUUUCUAGGUAAUAUAGAGUUUAUGUGAAACAUCUCUUUCUCUCCCUUCUCCACACCUCCUCUCCUCCCUCUGUUCUCUUCCAUGCUUAAGGGUUGGGCGUCCCCUUUCCACACACCAAGAGGUAGUGAUGAUUUGUCUUCAAGAGCAAAAAAUAAGAAGAAGAAGACUGCAGAUCAAAGAGUUGAUCUCGCAGUCCAGAUCAAGAUAUUGAUCUAGAAUCUCAAGACUAAGAUUCUUCUUAGAAAGAAGAAUCUUCUACGAGGAGAGAUCAGUUCGAGAUUGAUCUCGGUGGAUAUCCAUAGAGGUCGGACACGUGUGCGGCUCAAGCAUCUAUAAAUUCAUGAUCAUUAGAAGUGGUGAAUAUCUACCCGCAUCAAGGUAAUGAGAUCCGAUCUCGUACUUGUCUCUCAAUUUUAAAUUAUAUAUAUUUAUUUUUUUUAGGCUU